AGAAUAAGUUUAUUGGGGUUUUGUAUUAAAAAAAAUAAGGCUCAUUGCCUACAUCAAUGGUUCACAUUGCAAAUAGUGAGUGUGUUGAUCUACCAUCUCCCCUUCGUGGGAUAGUGGACGUCAUAAUAUGUGUUAGAAGGGGCACGCGUCCGUGCGGCCCCUGC